rnacentral:rRNA from 1 species
GACGAACGCUGGCGGCGUGCUUAACACAUGCAAGUCGAACGGAAAGGCCCUGCUUGCAGGGUGCUCGAGUGGCGAACGGGUGAGUAACACGUGGGUGAUCUGCCCCUUACUUUGGGAUAAGCCUGGGAAACUGGGUCUAAUACUGGAUAGGACCAUGCUGUAGGUGGUGUGGUGGAAAGAUUAGUUUCGGUAAGGGAUGAGCUCGCGGCCUAUCAGCUUGUUGGUGGGGUAAUGGCCUACCAAGGCGUCGACGGGUAGCCGGCCUGAGAGGGUGGACGGCCACAUUGGGACUGAGAGACGGCCCAGAAUCCUACGGGAGGCAGCAGUGGGGAAUAUUGCACAAUGGGCGCAAGCCUGAUGCAGCGACGCCGCGUGGGGGAUGACGGCCUUCGGGUUGUAAACUCCUUUCAGCCAUGACGAAGCCCUUGUGGUGACGGUAGUGGUAGAAGAAGCACCGGCUAACUACGUG